CAUGUGGGAGAGAAGGAGGGAGGUUGGCUGGCUGGCGGACAAUGGAGCCUGUGUGUGCUUUCGGGAAGGGAGCGAAUUCACCGUCGCCGGGGGAAGAAGCUGCGCCGCCCCCUCCUGCCCGGGGCUGAGAGGUGUCCCCUGGCCGGGCCAGGCCAGGCCCUCCGCCCUUGCUGGGGAAAGCGGUGAUCUUUAUUUGUCCGCAAAGGGCUUUUGAACCCAUCGUCAGGAUGAUCAGCACAAUGUCGUGACACUGGAGUUCUGUUUUCCCUGGAGAUGCGAGAC